GACGUAGGGCGCGAGCGUUGUCCGGAUUUAUUGGGCGUAAAGAGCUCGUAGGCGGCUUGUUGCGUCGACUGUGAAAACCUGCGGCUCAACCGUGUGGUCUGCAGUCGAUACGGGCAGGCUGGAGUUCGGUAGGGGAGACUGGAAUUCCUGGUGUAGCGGUGAAAUGCGCAGAUAUCAGGAGGAACACCGGUGGCGAAGGCGGCAUCCUGGACCGGCAUUGACGCUGAGGAGCGAAAGCUAGGGGAGCAAACGGG
rnacentral:rRNA from 1 species